UGCGGUAUCCUGACCGUGCUAAGGUAGCGUGAUAAGUCGCCCUUUAAUUGUGGGCUUGUAUGAACGGACAAACGAGAGGAUCCCUGUCUCAAAGUAAUAAAUAAAAAUUGGUCUUCAGGUGAAGAAACCUGAAUAAAAAUAGAGGACAAGAAGACCCCGUAGAGCUUCCGUACCUAUUAAUAAUAUACUGUAACCUUCUUCAAGGAAACAUAUAAUCUUUUAUUGGUGCUUUGCUGGGGCGGCAAAGGAAAAUCAUCUUCCAUCUACACCAUAACAGCUUUAUAAGGCUUUACAAGCCUAAAUAAAUUGACCCAUUAUUUGAUCAAAGAAAAUAGCUACCUCGGGGAUAACAGAUUAAUCUUUCUUGAGAGAACGCAUUGACAGAAAGGCUUGACACCUCGAUGUUGGCUUAGGAUAUCCUAGGGGUCAGCAGCAGCCCCUAAGGGUGGGUUUGUUCAACCCUUAAAAUCCCUACAUGAUCUGAGUUCAAACCGGAGA
rnacentral:rRNA from 1 species